rnacentral:rRNA from 1 species
UACGAAGGGGGCGAGCGUUGUUCGGAUUUACUGGGCGUAAAGGGCGCGCAGGCGGCUUUGUUUGUCAGGCGUGAAAGCCCCGGGACUUAACCUGGGAACUGCGUUUGAUACGGCAGGGCUAGAGUUCGGGAGAGGAGAGUGGAAUUCCCAGUGUAGAGGUGAAAUUCGUAGAUAUUGGGAAGAACACCGGUGGCGAAGGCGGCUCUCUGGACCGAUACUGACGCUGAGGCGCGAAAGCGGUGGGGAGCAAACAGG